rnacentral:lncRNA from 1 species
AAAUCAUGCAGAAGACAACAGUUUUGUGAUGUGGCAAUUUGGCCCAGCUGAACUUUUUUUUUUUUUUUUCCCCCAGAAUUCCUUCCCUGCCUGUUUCUAUUUAGGGAGGGUGGUUGUGAAGUAGCAGCCAUUUUGUUUUUAUGCUCAAAAUGUUGGGCAGGAUACUUUUGUAGCUCACAUAUGUUGUUGCUUCUCUGCUGGCUCAUUUGAUGGCUAUGGGGCAGCAGCUCAGCCUGCCACCACCUCUAGAUGUUUCUUCAGCUUCUCCAACUCCAAGGCUGGCAUUCUCUCUCUUGCUGCCCUGUGAAGAGGUGCCUUCUGCCAUAAUUGUAAGUUUCAUGAGGCUUCCCCAGCCGUGCAGAACUUUACAGAGCUUUCACUCUAGCAUCUGAAAAAGGAACCAACUCCUGCUAAAUCUUGAGAAUUGACACAUUGAAGCCUUAUCUUCAGACUCUGAAAAAGGCUGGAAGCUUAUCAUGGGCCUGGAUCUUGUGCUAUUCAAAUGUUUUCACCGAUGCCUACAACUGUAUUUGGCACAUAGAAGAUGCAAACAAUAAACCUCAGAACAUCUCAAACCCAAGGAGUCUGGAUUUUCCUGACAUCAAUGUAUCCUUUUGAGUAUAUUAUCGUAUCUCUUAACAUUUCUGUUUCAUCCUUGACCUGAGACUUUUUUUUUUUUUUUUAAUCUUGAGAUAAUUCUUGGCUUUGUCAAGGCUACUGGUGACAAAAGCAUUAGCAAGCAGGUGCAGAGUGCUUUUUCCACCAAAGAAGAGACAUUGUACUCUUUUUGGGGUUAUAUUAAUGACUAAAUCUGAGAAAUUAGAAAUGCAUUUGCUGAAUUGAAGAACCCAUUAGAGACUCUCAACAGGAGAAUGGGUCUUGCUGAGGAGUCAGUGACCUCUCAGGCCAGCUAUUUGAAAAUACAAAGUCAGAGGAAAAAAACGAAAAAAAGAAUGAAAAUGAAUUAAGACUGCCUACGAGAUACAGAAAAUUACCUCAAAAGACUAAAUCUGAGUUAUCAGUGCUCAAAAGGGAAUCAAACAAGAGCAAGUGGUAGAAAGUUUUUUCAAGGAAAGAAUAACAGAAAACUUACCAACUCUUGAGAUAGAUAUACAUAUCUAGGUACAGGAAGAUCUGAGAGCACCAAGCAGAUUCAACUCAAAUAAGAAUACCAUAAGACACUGAAUAAUCAGACUGUCAAAGGUCAAGGACAAAGAGAGAAUACUAAAGGCAGCAAGAGAAGAAAAGCAAAUAACAUAUAAAGGAAUUCCAAUCCAUCUGGCAGCAGAUUUCACAAUGGAAAUCUUAUAGGCCAGCGGGGAGUGGAACAUGUUCAAAAGCUCAAAGAAGAAAACUGAUAUGAAAGAAUAUUGCAUUCAGCAAAAUUAUCCUUCAGAUAUGAAGGAGAAAUAAAGUUUUUCCAAGACAAUCAAAAACUGAGAAAAUUUACCAUCGCCAGACCCAUUGCAAGAAAUACUAAAGGGAGUUCUUCAAUCUGAAAGAACUGAAAAAAAAAAAAAAACUAAUAUGCAAAAAGAAAAUUUUGCAAUGUAUAAAACACAAUGGGUGCAGAAAAAGAGGAGCCAGAGAUACAGGAAAGAAGGCCAGAGAUACAGGAAUGAAGACGGAACCAAAAUUGGAGUUUUGCUGCCACAAACAAAGGAAUACCAGGAGGCACUAGAUGCUGGAAGAGAAAAGAAACCAUUGUCACCCUGGAGUGUGAGCCUGCUCAUACCUUAAUUUUAGACAUCUGGUAUCUAGAGCUAUGAGAAGGAAUUUCUGUUAUUUUAAGCCAUUGACUUUGAGGCCAUUUCUUGUGGCAGCUAUAGGAAACUAACACACCAGGUUAGAAUCAACGUGGUAGUUUCUCAGUAUCCACAGGUGGUUGGUUCUAGGACCCCCGCCAAUACCAAAAUCUGAGGAUGCUCAAAACUCUAUUUAUAUAAUAUGGCAUAGUAUUUGCAUAUAACCUACACACAUCUUCUCAUAUGCUUUAAAUCACCUCUAGAUUAUCUACAAUAUGUAAUACUAUCUAAAUUGUUGUUAUACCAUAUUGUUUUUAUUCAUAUUAUUUUUUAUAGUUGUACUGUUAUUUCUUUUGUUUUGGAAUAUUUUUAUACACGGUUGAAUGUGCAGAUACAAAGGGUCAUCUGUAUUAUUCUAAAA